CACGUAGGGCGCAAGCGUUGUCCGGAAUUACUGGGCGUAAAGCGCGUGUAGGCUGCGGCGUAAGUCGGACGUGAAAGCCCUUGGCUUAACCAAGGAAGUGCAUCCGAUACUGCGUCGCUUGAGCACCGGAGGGGAUGGCGGAAUUCCCGGUGUAGAGGUGAAAUUCGUAGAUAUCGGGAGGAACACCGGUGGCGAAGGCGGCCAUCUGGACGGUAACUGACGCUGAGACGCGAAAGCGUGGGUAGCAAACAGG
rnacentral:rRNA from 1 species